GGGCCCGCACAAGCAGUGGAGUAUGUGGUUUAAUUCGAAGCAACGCGAAGAACCUUACCAGGGCUUGACAUCCCUUGACGACGGCAGAGAUGCCGUUUCCCUUCGGGGCAAGGAGACAGGUGGUGCAUGGUUGUCGUCAGCUCGUGUCGUGAGAUGUUGGGUUAAGUCCCGCAACGAGCGCAACCCCUACUGCCAGUUGCCAGCAUUCAGUUGGGCACUCUGGCGGGACUGCCGUUGACAAAACGGAGGAAGGUGGGGAUGAUGUCAAAUCAUCAUGCCCCUUAUGUCCUGGGCUACACACGUACUACAAUGGCCGCAACAGAGGGCAGCGACGUCGCGAGGCGAAGCGAAUCCCAAAAAGCGGUCUCAGUUCGGAUUGCAGGCUGAAACCCGCCUGCAUGAAGUCGGAAUUGCUAGUAAUGGCAGGUCAGCAUACUGCCGUGAAUACGUUCCCGGGCCUU
rnacentral:rRNA from 1 species